UCCAAUACCGGCUGAUCAGCGAUGAGGAUGGAGAGGGUAGCAACCCCGGCAGUCGCCCUACUGACGGGAUGCUGAGGCUCUUCUUGUAGGACAUUUGCUGUCUGCUACAACUGAGUGUCCCCGAAAGCAGGCUCUGAGAAAUUACCUCAUGGAAGGCUCUUUAGUAAGUACUCUGGGAAUGAGCUCUUAUGGAAGAGAGGUAAAGGUAGGGGGUUGGGGUGCGAGGAGAUUGUGCAGCAGUCUUUACUUCUGGAAGCUUCUGAUACUGAAAUUGACCACCAGGAUGGUCUGAGUGAGGUUAAGGCCCUGUCUCCUCACCUUGCGACAAUGUCACUGGCUAGUGAGAUGAAGGAAGACCUGGGGUAGAUAGCUUUCUUCACUCCUCUACACAGUCAUGAGUAAUAUUCAUGUUCUCUUGUCUUCCUGGAACUGAGUCAUGUUAGAGUUUCCCACAUCCUUCUAGAUAUGACCAAGCAAUUCGCUCUGAUGAAUGGAUCUCACAAGUGGUACAUUUUAACUCGAGGUAGAAGCUUUUCAUAAUCCAGUGUCCUUUCCUACUCCAUAGUGACCUGUGAUAUUCCAGAUGGUGGCAACCCUUCCAGGUGCAUCUCUGAAUGAAGACAUCCUGGAACAGUGCCCCCAGCAAUCCUAUGGCAUAUGAUCAAAAGUAAACAUUCUGGUUGCUAACUGCUAACAGGGACUCCAUUGUCAUGGUAGCACAAUGGUGACAUCUGACACGUGUCAUCUUUCAAUUCCAUAUCUCACCUUUGCUACCUUGUGUUUCUCUCCUUAUUUCUUACCCAAUAUUUAUACUUAAUAUUCUUUUCCAUCCUGUUCAAGCUCAGUAUUUCCCACAAAGUGUUCGAUAAAGAA